rnacentral:rRNA from 1 species
AAAUUGAAGAGUUUGAUCAUGGCUCAGAUUGAACGCUGGCGGCAGGCCUAACACAUGCAAGUCGAGCGGAAACGACAC